UGUUAUCAAAAUACGGUAAUCUUUUAUACCGAUUUUAAUAUUUCAGCAGUAAUUUUUUUUUUGGUCGUGAAGCAAUCGCAGUGUGCCAAUGUUGAACUGCCUAAGAUUCUUGACCUCCGAUAUUAUAAAACUUCUUAGCUAAAAUGUGCAAUCCUGCGAGCUCAGACAGAUCGUAAACAUGGUGGAAAUAACACCAAAUAGGGAGAAAAUGUUUUAAAGCAAGUCACAAAAGUCUUUUUCUACCAAAUAUUUAAAACAAAAUUCCAGGAUUCACUAUUCAAUUCAGCAAUAAAUUAUCAAUUCACUCCACAACAUGAAAAUUUGAUCGGCAAGAUUGAAAAAGGCAAUCAUACCUCUAAUAUGUGACUAAUAAAAGAACAGUCAUAUACAAAGAAAACAAGUGCUCUCUUCUUCAUUAUAGUUCAAUGUAUUACAAGCCUUAUUACAUAUGAAUUACAUUCAGCUCUUUUUCCAAUUUCUGGUUCAAUCACUGUCAAUGAUAUCUCAGGCAUAACAUUUUGUAUAGAUAUCCGACCUACAUUGAAUCAUUUAUGUGAUGUUUCUAUUUAAUUUUUUAAUUUUGUCACAACUAUACCAAGGAAAUACAAUGAGAUAUAAUCUUAAGGUGAUGUUACCUCUAAUACAUGGCUAAUGGAUGAACGUUUGUUAAAGAAGUCCACUGCAAGAGCGGUUUCUAUAUUUUUUUUUCCUUGAACCUCAUCACAAACAACUAAACUAUGAUUUGUAAGUCACACUGUAUGCAACUGUGGCGAUACAUUAGGAUUUACUAUGUACUAGAUUAACUCUAGAAUAAUCAUUUUAUUCUAACAUAAUAAUGUUAUUAAUAAUAUAAAAAAUAAUAAUGUUUUUUUUUAAAAGUCUGUUAUACUCUUUGAAUUCUAUGUACAAAAUAGUCAUCUAACAUUGUCCAUUUAAAUGUUUUCAUGUGAAUUUGCUUUUUGAUUAUACGUUCAUUUUUAAGUUUUCCGU